AACGAACGCUGGCGGCAGGCUUAACACAUGCAAGUCGAGCGCCCCGCAAGGGGAGCGGCAGACGGGUGAGGAACACGUGGGAACAUACCCCUCGGUGCGGAAUAACUCAGGGAAACUUGUGCUAAUACCGCAUGAACCGGCGACGGCAAAGAUUUAUCGCCGAGGGAUUGGCCCGCGUCUGAUUAGCUAGUUGGUGGGGUAACGGCCUACCAAGGCGACGAUCAGUAGCUGGUCUGAGAGGAUGAUCAGCCACACUGGGACUGAGACACGGCCCAGACUCCUACGGGAGGCAGCAGUGGGGAAUAUUGGACAAUGGGGGCAACCCUGAUCCAGCAAUGCCGCGUGAGUGAUGAAGGCCUUAGGGUUGUAAAGCUCUUUUACCCGGGAUGAUAAUGACAGUACCGGGAGAAUAAGCCCCGGCUAACUCCGUGCCAGCCGCCGCGGUAA
rnacentral:rRNA from 1 species